UCAGAUUCUCUGAAGCCGGAUGACAGGUCGUUGUGAUCUGUCCAGUGUGGGUGAUGAGAAGGAACAGCGCUCUUAGCCAGAGUCAUCUCUCCAGUUCCCCUCCCUCCCUUUCAACACAUGUGCUCAUGGAGACUAUGAACGCACUAUCUUUUUGCUCCAUACUCCAAAAUGAACCUCCUAUGAAUGAACCCCAAGAGGCAAAUCCCCUAACUUUGAAACUACCAGCUUAGGCAAAAUAAAUGAACUUUUGAACCACAUGGCAGAAAGGAGCAAGCACUAACUCCAUCUAGGUGAGCAGAGUACUGGGUACCAUUUGUUUCUGUUAGUGGCUGUGCUCUGGGAUUGUUCCCAGGACACAAGUCUCUAAUGUAUUGGGAUUGAAUUUUAAUGUGUUUCCCAAAGAGUAAAUGUUAAAGAUGGAUUUUAAAAUGAAACUUGGAAGGUAUUUUCAGAGGAAGGACCUCUUACCUCUGACAUCACAUUCAAGAGGACUCAAUGCUCACUGAGCACUUGGCAAGGCCUGUCUUUGGCUUACAAUGAACCUGCCCUAUCCUAACCCCACCAGGUAUACAUCUUCAUGCUUUUACAUACAUUCUUGUGUAAGCUUGCAAGAUACUAUAAAGACACAGGUUAAGAGAAUGAGCAAGGUCCUGAGUUUAACCCCAGAACUGUAAAAACAAGACAAGUACAACAGCUCAGAGACUGCACACAAAGCCUGCCCUGAGUCCCAAGUAAUGAUCUUCCCUUCUCUGUCCCCACAGUACUUUGCCUUAUCUUUUAUUACAUUGUACCAACAUUGCCUGUAACAGCUACAAUCUGUACUAGAACCACAACUAGAAGCUUAGGGCUCACUUAUCUGUUUAUUUCUAGUGCCUGGCUCUUCCCAACACAUAGUAGGCCUUCAAAUACCUUUGUAUGAAUACAACUGAACAAUAAAUCUAUUUUAAAAUUUCUUACAUUUCAACUGAGAUGAGAAAUAGCCCCUACACACAUACUGAGCCUUCUCCAGACUACUGGCUAAAUCCUUUCUUAUUCUCUGGGCAUCCAGAAAAUGUUCCCUACUAAAGAAUAAACUGUAACCUCCACUAAGACUG
rnacentral:lncRNA from 1 species